rnacentral:lncRNA from 1 species
CGUCAACCAUGAACAGGACCUCAUAACCCUUCUUCUUCAACUUCUCAAGGAAGGGAGAGUUCUCAACAGCCUUCUUGCUCUCACCAGUAAUAUAGUAAAUAUCAUUCUGUCCCUCCUUCAUCCUGGUAACAUAGUCCUUCAAGCUAGUCAGCUCGUCACCACUCUUGGUGGAGUGAUAACGCAGAAGUUCAGCAAGCUUAGUCUUGUUCUGAGAAUCCUCAUGGAUGCCAAGCUUGAGGUUCUUUGAGAAUGCCUCAUAGAAUUUGUUGUAGUCUUCCUUGUUCUCGGCAAUCUCAAAGAAAAGCUCAAUGCACUUCUUAACCAAGUUCUUGCGAAUGACCUUCAAGAUUUUGUUCUGCUGCAACAUCUCACGAGAAAUGUUGAGAGGAAGAUCCUCAGAAUCUACAAUACCCUUCACGAAGCUCAAAUAUUCAGGAAUCAACUCCUCACAGUUGUCCAUAAUGAACACACGGCGGACAUAAAGCUUAAUGUUGUUAGGUUUCUUCCUGGUAUCAAACAGAUCAAAAGGUGCCCUCUUAGGAACAAAGAGAAUAGCCUUGAAUUCAAGCUGGCCCUCAACAGAAAAAUGCUUAACAGCCAAAUGUUCCUCCCAGUCAUUAGUAAGGCUUUUGUAGAAAGCAGCAUACUCCUCCUUAGUGAUCUCUUCGGGUUUCCUCAUCCAGAUUGGCUUCUGCUUGUUGACCAAAGACCAUUCAUGAGAGACUUCCUUGAUCUUCUUCUUUUUCUUCUCAUCUUUCUCUUUCUCUUCAUCGACUUCCUCAACCUUUCCUUCCUCAUCUUUCUUGUCCUCCUCAUCCUCAUCAUCAGAAAUUUCCUUCUCAAUGGUCUUCUCCACCCACAAAGAAAUUGGGUAGCUGAUGAACUCAGAGUGCUUCUUGAUCAGAUCCUUGAGUCGCCUCUCCUCAAGGUACUCAAGUUGGUCCUCCUUAAGGAAGAGGGUCAUCUUGGUUCCCCUGCCAAGAUUCUCACCAGAUGCGUCUCUGGUAACAGUGAAAGAACCACCAGCCUGGGACUCCCACACGUACUGCUCAUCAUCAUUGUGCUUGGUUGUCACGAUAACCUUCUCAGCAACCAAGUAGGCUGAAUAGAAACCAACACCAAACUGCCCAAUCAUACUGACAUCAGCUCCAGCAGCAAGAGCUUCCAUGAACUCUUUAGUCCCAGACCUUGCAAUUGUACCAAGGUUGUUCACCAAAUCUGCAUUUGCAUAAUCAAGUGAAACUUUAUCAAUACAAUCAAACUUCAAGAAAAGGCAACUACCCACAACAAUUAAUGGUCUAUUUAUACUAACCAGCCUUUGUCAUGCCAAUGCCACUGUCAACAAUGGACAAUGUGUUAUUGGUCUUGUCUGGAAUGAUGUGGAUAAAGAACUCCGGCUGAGCAUCCAGCUUGCUCUUGUCAGUCAAGCUUUCAAAACGGAUUUUAUCCAAAGCCUACAAUCAAUGACAAUAAACCAAUCAGUAUUAAAAUUCCAAUACAGGCCUCAUUAGACUGGAAAUAAAAAAAACAUAAAUGCAGUGUAUUCUAAUCAGAAAUAGCUAAAUCAAUAUUAAUGUAACCAAACAAUUACCCAAGUGUAGGAAAGAAGAACAAACUGACAAGCACAACAUAGAAUUUACAUAAUGUCCUCGCAACAGUACCAGUGAUACACGUACGUAGCAUAAAAUUUUUGAAACUCACGUCAAAACUUACCUAAAACAAAAUUCAGGGGAAAAAAUGUACCCAUAACAUCUCCCACAAAACAAAUAGAAGUUAAGUCUAUACGCGAGUCCUAGGGGGUUCAUAUUCACAAGGUCCGUCAAUUUAAACGAACAUAUUUUGAUGUCCAUUUUCCAUCAUCCACAAACUCAAUAUCUCGGAAAAAUAUAAUCUCUUUUUUUUGGUAGGAGAAAAAUAUAAUCUCUGACUUAACCUACGAAUCACUUGCUGCUUGCGCCGUCCACACAUCAAAUUAACAGCAAUACCAUACUAGACAUAGAUCAGAAACAGAACACAAAAAAGGCAUGAAGAACAGAGCAUCAUAGAUUAAUCCCUCCUAACCAAACCUGGUAAUAUCAAAUUAACAUAAAUUAAUAAAAAAAAACCAUAAUGUUGCUUAAAAAACCGCAAAUCACAGAAGAAUGCAGUAUAAGAAUUUAACAAUUGAAUCAGAUCAGUCGCAUCAAAACCAAAAAAAACGUACAAAACGAAUCUAAUUGAAAGCGCAAAGGAGAAAGUUCUUCAGAGAAUAAGACCGAAGGCUUACAUCAGAAGCGUUGCUAAUAAGUUCACGGAGAAAGAUCUCCUUGUUGCUGUAGAAAGUGUUGAUAAUAAGACUCAACAAUUGGUUGAUCUCAGCUUGGAAGGCAAACGUCUCCGUCUGCGCCAUUGCCGAUUAUCUCUCUUUACUGCAACGAUAAUAUAUCACAGAAAGAAAAAUCGCCAAGGCUUACCAGAAGAAGCUAGGGUUUAUGAGUAAGGAGGAGCAAAGGAGGCAGAGACUGAAGGCCGCGAAGCAAAGGUAUUUUAUAGGUGGUUUCCUUUAGGGUUUCUAGAUCCUUCUAUUAGCGAUAUUUUCUCGUGUAGUUUUCCUUUUCUUUUGCUGCUUUUCAUUAAUCGGAGGAGUAGAUAAAAGAACAGUGCAAAACUCGAAUAGUGACACGCGUUGGAUUACUGGGGCGGGUUUAGUUGGCCUGACCAAUGAGAAUUGAGCUUGAGAUCCAAUGGGUGCAAUCCUGGCUCGUGAGCGAAUCAUAAAAGGCUUUGGAUUAAACGGCACUUACUUAAUCAUGAAUCAACUGGGUCAACUAAAGCGUUGCAAGACCUUCGCGAUCCUUCUAAGCGGGGUGUUUGGUUAGAGGGUUUUGGUUUUCAUUGCCAAAUAAUAAUAUUAAUAUGUCCAAUUUUCCUUGCAGUUUUGACUUCCUAAAAUUUCCAUAUCAAUACCACCCCAAAAAAUUAAUCUUUUUUCACUUGUAGUACUGUUAAAGUUUAUUUUCCCUUCAAUUUACUUGCCUCUAGGAGCCAUAAGAUUGUUCUUUUAUCAACUCACUGCACACACUAAAAUGAGUGUUCAAACAUCUUUUUGUUUUUAUUUUUUUAUAUCAAAUGAAUGAAAUUUAUGAAGCAGUGAAGGAAAAUGUAAAUUUAAACACAAAAUCUCUAAAUUUUGAAAUCUCAAUAAUCUUAUGUGCUUCUUCCUCCAUCCCAAAGCCAAUAAACCCAUAAUCCCAUAGCAAACAAGGAAAUAUGAAGGUUUGUAGUAUGAUACUACAUUAACCAUGUUUUAGUGUAAUUGGGUAAGCAUCAAUAUUUUUAUGUUUUCAUUUCCUUCAAAAAUGAUUUUAUAAUCAUAUUUUAAUAAUUUUUUUUUCAUUUUGAGAAUUACAGGUUCUCGAGCUUGAAUAUAAACUACUUUUCUGAAAAGCAAAUGCUACAUAAAGAAUAAUUGUUUAAAUACCCUUCCAAUUGUCAAAAAGAGCUAAUAGUUUAUUAGCAAUUAUAUAUCACUUGCGAUUUUGCUUAAAAAGCUAAGAGUAAAUUAUUUAAAGAGUUCUUAAACUAUUUUAAUUUUAAAAUGACCCUCAACUAUUUGCAAUAUCAAAUUUGUCCUUUAAUAAUAAAAAAAAUUCAAAUUUGAUCCUUCAAUUCAUCUCCAUCACUAAAAUUGAUGGAUCCAAGGGGAAAAUUGGACAUAUUUAAUGGUAGAGAUAGAAUGAAGAAUUAAAAUUUGAUAAUUUUUAUUAUUCAAAGACCAAUUUAAAACUUUAAAAUAGAUGAGGAGAUAAUUUGAGAUAAUUGAUGUAGUUUAGUGUUUCGUAACUGGUUUACCCAAAAACUAAAAAUUGACUACAGUCUCUAUUUUGCUAGAAAUUUGAAUCCUAGAUAGAUAUGGAGUGAUAUUUUUCUAUUAUUAUAUGAUUUUUUUUAUUAUAUCUCAAUUUACAUUAUUAUAUGAUUUUUUUCCUUGAGUAUAAGAAAACAACUAUCAUGAUUUUAUUUGAUGUAAAAUUUUGGCCUACCACCAAAUAAAUAAAUAAAUAAAAUGGAAGGACAUACGACCAAGAAUCAAAAUAAUUUUACUAUUAUAAUAUUUAAACAAAAAGGGGAAGUAGAUAUAUGAAGGAAAAAUGACCAAUUUCGUCCUUAAACUCUUUUAUUAGUGCCGAUUUAGUCAUUAAUUUUUUUUUACCAAUUUGAUACUUGAACUUAUUUUGUAGUUCCAAUUAAAGACCUCCGCGGUAGCACCACUAUCUAAAGUUAAUCAGGCUCAUAAUUGACUAACCAAACAGAGAUAUUAUGGGAAUGUCACUCACGGACUAUAAUAAAAUAAAUAAACUAUGUAAAAAAAUCACCAUAUAAAACUUUUAAAUUAUGUAAAAAAUCACAAAAAAAAACCUUUUUAAAAUUUUAAUCUUGUACUUUUUUGACACAAUUUACUUGAUGACAUUCCAACAAUAACCUUAUUUAGUUGGUUAAUUAGAAACCAUAUCGGUUUAAGGAGGUGGUACCAUUACAAAAGGUUCUUAAUUGGAACCGCAAAUUAAGUGGACACAUCAAAUUAGAUAGGAAUAAAAAUUAGGGAUUAAAUUAGCACUAGUAACAAAGUUUAGGGACGAAGUUGGCAUUUUCCCCAACAAUAAAACCAAAAGCCGUUUGAAGAUCUUUCACGUAUUGAGAUUUCAGCUACAUUCUUAUCCUUCGACCAGCUCUCCUGGCUUCCGCAGCCCUACCACUGCACACCGCCAAGCUCUCUGGUCUCUGCGUCUCCCUUCACUUGGGCUCAUUCUCUUUUGAGUCAAAUUCAGAAAUGGGAGGUCCAGCUUAUCAAACCCGCAUCCGUUUCCCAAUUGCUUUGGCUUCUCCUAGGUAAAUACUAUUCCUUUCAUUUCUGAUAGCCUUAUUAUCUCCCAGUAAGCUUGCUUGUAUCUUCAUCAUGGCUAUUUAAUGACCAAUGGGAUGCAUGUUAACUACUGAAUCCUUAAACCUCAUAAGGAAAUUAAGUUGUUCGCCCGAGAAGAAAGCAUCCCGCGUUGAAUCGAUGAACGUUGGAGCAAAUUUUUAACUAAAAUUUGAUUUUGGAAUGGUUGAUACUUAGCUGUUGUCUUACCGGGACACACUUGAUCACUGAUCUUGUGCAGGAGCUGCAAUAUAAGAGUACAACCAUUUAGGAUUUUCUUCUUAUUUUUUUUUUUAAGCACUGCGAGCAACAGGAUUCUUACCUGUAGGCUUGAUAUGAAUUUUUGAAAUAGGUGUUAAACUGUGUACGAUAAAGUUUCAUCAUGAGUGUGAUACUUGUUUGAGCAGUUGCCUGGUUUUCAAGCAGCCUAGAGUCGUGUUGUCGGAGAAUUUGGGUGAGAAAGUUACUUCUAUUGGAUUUAAAAAGGUACCAAGGAGGUCAAUAUUGCAGCUCAUGGUAUUUGCUCCAAUAUUUGCAACUGCCAAUACGAUUUUAGCAGCACCAAUGCAGGAGAUGAAUGAACCUGAUGUGGUAAGGUAAAUAUUGCUCAUGCUGUCAUUAGUACUUACAGUUUGUUUGGAGUAAGGUGAAAUUCUAGAGAGGUCCCUAGAAUUAGUACUUGUUAUUGUCAGUUGUUCUCAAACACAAUCUCUGCUUGGCAUUUGAAGCAUCCAGGACAUUGAAGCUUCCCAGUGGAGUGAGGAUACAAGGUAAGAUAUCCAUUGCUGCUGACAUGCUUGUUGAAACGAAUGACUUGAUUCAUUCUGUUUAUUAAGGACAUUAGAACUAUGAUACUCUUUUUUCUUUUUCAUUCAUUCCUUUAUCUUUCUACAUAAGCUAUUGAGACGCAUUUUGGCCUGUCAUCUGUUACAAAUCAAGUUACUUCCCAAUUUUGAUGGGAAUGUGGGACAAAUGUAGGAUGGUAUGCAUCUCAUUCCACACAUACAUGCCACCAGAAGUAGCUUUGAAGUAGAAGCACUCAUGUAUUACAUGUACUUGGCUAAAUUCGGUACUUAAUAUACACAUUUGCAUACAAAAAUAAUCUAUGACUUCUGUCUGUACAUGAUUUUUGAACUUGAACUACGACUUAAAAAACUGUCAAAGGGGCAGACACCAGAUACAUUUCUCAAUUUACACUAUGGAGUGGGAAUUUCAGCUAUACUACGUUCAUUUUUCCGUUUAUUUCUUAAAUGUCUGUUUGUCAAACCUCUCUGCAAGAAAUUGUUGAAGGCAAAGGACGGGAAGCAUCUGAGGGUGAUCUUGUGGAAAUAAACUAUGUAUGCCGGCGUUCAAAUGGAUAUUUUGUCCACAGGUAAGCUUUCAAACUUCUAUUUCUUUGAUCAGAUGGAUUUCUAAUGCCUUGAAUUUUCUGGUUCUGCCUUCUGAGAUUGUACAAGUAACUUCCAUUAUGCUUUAUACAUCAUUUGAAUACAGCACGGUCGAUAAAUUUAGUGGAGAAAGUGCUCCUGUUAUACUCUCGCUGGAUGACAAGCAGGUCAAUUCUGUUUCUUCUAUUACAUGAUGUGAGAAUGAUAAAUUAAGUAGGAAGCAUUUACUCAGAACCAUUACUCACUCAUAGCUUUUCGCCAUUGGGUUAAUGACUCCAGAAUUUCCUUUCUGGGCUAGAUUCUUGUUAUGCAUUGUCGUAACUAAUAAAUUGAGUUAUGAUUUUGUCUUGCAAUGGAGAUGCUGACUGGUCGUAACGUUUUCAGUCAAGUAUCUGCUUUGUAACUAGCGCUUUCCCUGCAUCCUGCCGUUUAUAUAACACCAUUACCUGCUUGCGUCCUCUGGGAUUCAGGAUCUGCUACUUGAACCUACAAAAAGAUCCUUGAGAAUCACGUUUCAGAAGUAUUUGCGAAUUUCUUGUAAAGGUUGCUAAUCAAGGUUUUUCUGGUUGUCUAGAUUAUUAAAGGUCUGAAGGAGGUUUUGAUUGGAAUGAAAGCUGGAGGUUUGUUUUACUUGUCGUAGUUUCUGAAGGGGUUUUGUAUGCCAAAAGUCGCAAUUGAAGCGUGUUCAUAUAGUUUGAAAAUAGCCCUUCAAGUCAAUAAUACAUGUUUGAGAAAAGCUUGAUCAUAUUUCGCAGGAAAGAGAAGAGCACUGAUACCUCCUUCUGUCGGUUACAUCAGUGAAAACUUAGCACCUGUCCCGGAAGAGGUAAUGACUUCCUCACUUCCUUCUCCAGAACCCAUUGUUCUACAAGUUAGCUCUUGGCAGCUGGCACUGGUAAAUGAAAGAUGAUCAUGCCGCACUAACAAAUAAACGACCGUGCAUUCAUUUUGCAGUUUGGGCCUAGGCGGAGUCUUUUGUCUCACGCGAAAGAGCCUUUAAUAUUUGAAGUGCAACUUUUGAAGGUUUUGUGACUUGUGGAGUUUGAUCCUAUCUUUACAUAUAUUUCGCAUAUAAUUGAUGUGGAGCACUAGGCAUACUCGAAUACAACCAUUGGUUAUUUAUGAUGUUGAUCCUGGAAUUGUUAAGUGAUAGUACGUGCUAACAGAAAGGAAACUAGGGGAGGGAGUUAACGGGUAGCAUAUGAUUGAAGAAAAAAGCAAAUGCGCCAGAGGGUUCACGAGCAAAGUCAAGCCGAGACGAGAAAGAUUUAGUAGUAAACCACCCGCCUUUGGACUGGUGGCCACCGUCAAUGCAUUAAAGCUUGGUAGGGUGGGAAGCAAGGAUUCAAACCUUGUCUUCCACCAACUUGUCACAAUUAAAUGUGGCUUUAUUUAAAAAAUUCAAGCGAAUGCGUAGUGCAUCUGUCUGCUAUCGUAUAGGAAACUAUCGACAAAAAAAAAAAAAAGAUUUAGUGGUAGCAUAUGAUCCAUCCAUAAAAAAUGCACACAAUUGAUUCUAAACGGGAAGGUGAAGUGCAGUAUUUCAAAUGCGAUGAUGAUAGUUUUGACGAGAUACAACGGUCAACUGAUCAUAUGUAAAUUUGCGUAAAAUUUGUCAAACUUGUAGUAUAACUGUUCUAAAACAGUUACAUAAGCUAGAGUGAGCUGGACAGUUCAACUGGAGAGGCAUUUAUCGUUUCUGCGUGAAUUUAGUUAACCAUCGAGUGCAUGUCUUGGGAAAUUUAGAGCGCACCUUUGAGUCUUUGACAGAAGUCGGCAUGUACCCCAGCCACAAAGGCGUAGUAUAGAUACGCAUUCAGACUCCACGCCUUUGACAAUCCCGCUGAAACGGGAAAAUGUUUCAGCGCCUCCGCUCCGUCUUUGCUUAAUUACCAAGACCGCAAAUACGCACUAAUAACAGCAGCUACAAAACACGUCAAAUUUUGAAACUUUUAGACUAAGGAGUAAAGGCAAGAUUGGUGAAAUUGGGGUCCCCUGUCCACAUCCUCUGCUCGUUGCCUGUCCAAAUUCACCAAAAAUUUCCUAUUUUUUCUCCUCUCAAGAAGAGUUGGGUCGGGUACUGGAUCGUGAGAAAACUCGCAAGAUGCAGCAGUGGUUUUCAGCGGUUACCGUCGGCGCCAAUGCCAAUAAUCAGCAAACGGCGUCGUCGUCGUCGUCUUCGCCGUCUUUAUUGUCAGAUUGGAACUCAUAUGCAGCUGCUAGAGCCUCCGAAGAUAGCAGCUCCCUCCUUCCUGGUUUUGAUCUCGAAUCCGCCGUCAGGUCCGCCAACGACACCGUUUCCGGCACUUUUAACGUGUGAGAUUCUGCUCCCCGCUCUACUCUCCUUUCUUUCCCCCAGUAAUUUCGAGUGUUUAACUAGCUUCUAUCUGUGUCCAUGGUUUUUCUCCUAAGAGCGUCAAUGUGGAAGAGAAAUUCCGGUGUGAGAAUGGUGAAAUGAAUUGUUAGUUUUUAGUAAUUCUCCUUAUUUUAAUCACUAAUUUCGUGAAGCUGACUUGUUAUGCUCUGUCUAUAUCGUUAAUAUCUAACCAAAUUCCUGAAUCUUUCUCGGAUUGAUUUGUUUUUGACGUUCAAUUCUGCACUAAGACCAAAUUCUAAGUAUGAUAGGGUUUUCAGGGUUAAUCUCCAUUGUCUUCUUGCUGGACAUGUACCCAGCCAUACUUGAGUCCCUCAGAGCUUGUGCCUUCAUAAUCCUCUCCAUGUUGGCUGUCCAGCCAUACUCUCCAGUAACCAAACAGCAGGGUGAGUCCACAACACGGUCAGAAACAAUUACCUUCUCAACCUUGUCACCAAGAACAUCCUUGAUCACCUUGCAAAGACCCUCAAACUUCUCCUUCAAAGUUUCCUUCUUCUUCUUCUCAUCCUCACUCUCAUCAAGCUUGAGGCCUUC